rnacentral:tRNA from 1 species
GGAGAAAUGGCAGAGUGGUCUAUUGCGGCAGUCUUGAAAACUGUUGAGGGUUAUACCUCCUGGGGUUCGAAUCCCUAUUUCUCCG